AUAAAAUUGAGGACAACUCUUUCUGCCACAACAAUGUUGUAUGCACAUCCAGAUACUUUGCCAAACUGGAUGCCUUUAUGAACAUAAUUUCCAUCCUUCUCAUACCAUUCAACCUUUAAUGAAGGAUCCACCUGGUUGAAAAUCAUCUCCGCAAGAGCAAUCCCAGCAAUUACCCCGUCUUCCUUUGCAAUGAAGUGGGCUUCUACUUCCAUGUUCGAUGGAACAGUGGCCAAACAGGUCACGUCCCCUCGGUCGCCG
rnacentral:misc_RNA from 1 species